GCCGAGCCUCCCGGCCCCGCCGGCCCCGCUGCUGCUCCUCGGGCUGCUGCUGCUCGGCUCCCGGCCGGCCCGCGGCGCCGGCCCCGAGCCCCCCGCGCUGCCCAUCCGUUCUGAGAAGGAGCCGCUGCCCGUUCGGGGAGCGGCAGGCUGCUCCUUCGGCGGGAAGGUCUAUGCCUUGGACGAGACGUGGCACCCGGACCUGGGGGAGCCCUUCGGGGUGAUGCGCUGCGUGCUGUGCGCCUGCGAGGCGCCUCAGUGGGGUCGCCGUACCAGGGGCCCUGGCAGGGUCAGCUGCAAGAACAUCAAACCAGAGUGCCCAACCCUGGCCUGUGGGCAGCCGCGCCAGCUGCCGGGACACUGCUGCCAGACCUGCCCCCAGGAGCGCAGCAGUUCGGAGCGGCAGCCGAGCGGCCUGUCCUUCGAGUAUCCGCGGGACCCGGAGCAUCGCAGUUAUAGCGACCGCGGAGAGCCAGGCGCUGAGGAGCGGGCCCGUGGUGACGGCCACACGGACUUCGUGGCGCUGCUGACAGGGCCGAGGUCGCAGGCGGUGGCACGAGCCCGAGUCUCGCUGCUGCGCUCUAGCCUCCGCUUCUCCAUCUCCUACAGGCGGCUGGACCGCCCUACCAGGGUCCGCUUCUCAGACUCCAAUGGCAGUGUCCUGUUUGAGCACCCUGCAGCCCCCACCCAAGAUGGCCUGGUCUGUGGGGUGUGGCGGGCGGUGCCUCGGUUGUCUCUGCGGCUCCUUAGGGCAGAACAGCUGCAUGUGGCACUUGUGACACUCACUCACCCUUCAGGGGAGGUCUGGGGGCCUCUCAUCCGGCACCGGGCCCUGGCUGCAGAGACCUUCAGUGCCAUCCUGACUCUAGAAGGCCCCCCACAGCAGGGCGUAGGGGGCAUCACCCUGCUCACUCUCAGUGACACAGAGGACUCCUUGCAUUUUUUGCUGCUCUUCCGAGGGCUGCUGGAACCCAGGAGUGGGGGUAAGUGGGAUGGGGGCAAAACAUGUGAGAAGGUUAGGGAGAGCACCUGUCUCAGAAAGACCCACAUGUGCGGCCUUGCAGGACUAACCCAGGUUCCCUUGAGGCUCCAGAUUCUACACCAGGGGCAGCUACUGCGAGAACUUCAGGCCAAUGUCUCAGCCCAGGUGAGUGGGGAUCUGGCUCUUGCUGCCACCUGUCUUGGCCUCUUGCUAUUGCCCAUCACACCCUGCUCUGUCCCCAGGAACCAGGCUUUGCUGAGGUGCUGCCCAACCUGACAGGCCAGGAGAUGGACUGGCUGGUGCUGGGGGAGCUGCAGAUGGCCCUGGAGUGGGCAGGCAGGCCAGGGCUGCGCAUCAGUGGACACAUUGCUGCCAGGAAGAGCUGCGACGUCCUGCAAAGUGUCCUUUGUGGGGCUGAUGCCCUGAUCCCUGUCCAGACGGGUGCUGCCGGCUCGGCCAGCCUCACACUGCUAGGAAAUGGCUCCCUGAUCUAUCAGGUGCAAGUGGUAGGGACAAGCAGUGAGGUGGUGGCCAUGACGCUGGAGACCAAACCUCAGCGGAGGGAUCAGCGCACUGUCCUGUGCCACAUGGCUGGAUUCCAGCCAGGAGGACACACGGCCGUGGGUAUCUGCCCUGGGCUGGGUGCCCGAGGGGCUCAUAUGCUGCUGCAGAAUGAGCUCUUCCUGAACGUGGGCACCAAGGACUUCCCAGAUGGAGAGCUUCGGGGGCACGUGGCUGCCCUGCCCUACAGUGGGCAUAGCGCCCGCCAUGACACGCUGCCUGUGCCCCUAGCAGGAGCCCUGGUGCUACCCCCUGUGAAGAGCCAAGCAGCAGGGCACGCCUGGCUCUCCCUGGAUACCCACUGUCACCUGCACUAUGAGGUGCUGCUGGCUGGGCUUGGUGGCUCAGAACAAGGCACUGUCACUGCCCACCUCCUUGGGCCUCCUGGAACGCCAGGGCCUCGGCGGCUGCUGAAGGGAUUCUAUGGCUCAGAGGCCCAGGGCGUGGUGAAGGACCUGGAGCCAGAGCUGCUGCGGCACCUGGCAAAAGGCACGGCCUCCCUGCUGAUCACCACCAAGGGUAGCCCCAGAGGGGAGCUCCGAGGGCAGGUGCACAUCGCCAACCAAUGUGAGGUGGGCGGACUGCGCCUGGAGGCGGCCGGGGCCGAGGGGGUGCGGGCACCAGGGGCUCUGGAUACAGCUGCUGCUGCGCCGCCUGUGGUGCCUGGUCUCCCGGCCCUAGUGCCCGCCAAACCUGGUGGUCCUGGGCGGCCCCGAGACCCCAACACAUGCUUCUUCGAGGGGCAGCAGCGCCCCCACGGGGCUCGCUGGGCGCCCAACUACGACCCGCUCUGCUCACUCUGCACCUGCCAGAGACGAACGGUGAUCUGUGACCCGGUGGUGUGCCCACUGCCCAGCUGCCCACACCCGGUGCAGGCUCCUGACCAGUGCUGCCCUGUUUGCCCUGAGAAACAAGAUGUCAGAGACCUGCCAGGGCUGCCGAGGAGCCGGGACCCAGGAGAGGGGGGGCACUGGAGAGGUGCACUGUGAGAAGGUGCAGUGUCCCCGGCUGGCCUGUGCCCAGCCUGUCCGUGUCAACCCCACCGACUGCUGCAAACAGUGUCCAGUGGGGUCGGGGGCCCACCCCCAGCUGGGGGACCCCAUGCAGGCUGAUGGGCCCCGGGGCUGCCGUUUUGCUGGGCAGUGGUUCCCAGAGAGUCAGAGCUGGCACCCCUCAGUGCCCCCUUUUGGAGAGAUGAGCUGUAUCACCUGCCGAUGUGGGGCGGGGGUGCCUCACUGUGAGCGGGAUGACUGUUCACUGCCACUGUCCUGUGGCUCGGGGAAGGAGAGUCGAUGCUGUUCCCGCUGCACGGCCCACCAGCGGCCAGCCCCAGAGACCAGAACUGAUCCAGAGCUGGAGAAAGAAGCCGAAGGCUCUUAGGGAGCAGCCAGAGGGCCACAUGACCAAGAGGAUGGGGCCUGAGCUGGGGAAGGGGUGGCAUCGAGGACCUUCUUGCAUUCUCCUGUGAGAAGCCCAGUGCCUUUGCUCCUCUGUCCUCCCUCUACUCCCACCCCCACUACCUCUGGGAACCACAGCUCCACAAGGGGGAGAGGCAGCUGGGCCAGACCGAGGUCACAGCCACUCCAUGUCCUGCCCUGCCACCCUCGGCCUCUGUCCUGGAAGCCCCACCCCUUUCCUUCUGUACAUAAUGUCACUGGCUUGUUGGGAUUUUUAAUUUAUCCUCACUCAGCACCAAGGGCCCCCGACACUCCACUCCUGCUGCCCCUGAGCUGAGCAGAGUCAUUAUUGGAGAGUUUUGUAUUUAUUAAAACAUUUCUUUUUCAGUCUUUGGGCAUGAGGUUGGCUCUUUGCGGACAGGAACCUGAGUGGGGCCUGGUGGAGAAGGGGCAGAGAGUAGGAGGUGAGAGAGAGGAGCUCUGACCCUUGGGGAGCUGAAAGAGACCUGGAGAGGUAGAGGAUAGCGUGGCAGUUGGCUGGCAUGCCUGGGUUCCGCAGAGGGGCUGGGGAUGGUCCUGGAGAUGGUCUAGAGACUCAAGAAUUUAGGGAAGUAGAAGCAGGAUUUUGACUCAAGUUUAGUUUCCCACAUCGCUGGCAUGUUUGCUGACUUCAUGUUUGAAGUUGCUCCAGAGAGAGAAUCAAAGGUGUCACCAGCCCCUCUCUCUCUCCUUCCCUUCCCUUCCCUCCCCCUCCCCCUCCCCUCCCCCUCCCCCCUUCCCCCUCUCUUCCCUUCCCUUCCCUUCCCUUCCCUCCCCUCCCCUUCCCUCUCCCUUCUCCUUCCUUCACAGCAAUGGGGUCUUGCUAUGUUGCCCAGGCUGGUCUUGAACUCCUGGCCUCAAGUGAUACUCCUGCCUUGGCCUCCCAAAGUGUUGGGAUUACAGGCAUGAGCCACCACACCCAGCCUAGCUUCUACCUUCUUUGUCUAAAGUGAGGCAAACACUUUCCUGUUUUUUUCCUGGAAACUCAUGUUCUGGACCAGUUCUGGGGCAAACUUGGGUCAGAGUGGAUUGGAAUCAGCUCUGGUCCAGCUUUUGGCUGCACUUACCUUGAGACCAAAUCAUGUAGAGAAUAAGACAAGACCUUCCUGCCCUGUUACCCUCUUCUCUCUCCCCUCCCUCAUUCCUACCAUCAAGACCCGGCAUUUUGACAAGCUCUAGGAAAUGAGGGUAUCAGAACAGAAAUCUAACAAAUGUAUGUAGCUGCAGAUCCAUCUUUCAUAUAAACAAUGUGGAGUC
rnacentral:sRNA from 1 species